UGACGAUGCUGAUGCAUUUCCUCAGUCCUGCUGGAGCCGGGUAGACUCUGGUUCUAAUAAAAUUCUUAUCCAUAACUGACG
rnacentral:ncRNA from 1 species